rnacentral:rRNA from 1 species
AUUGAACGCUGGCGGCAGGCCUAACACAUGCAAGUCGAACGAGAGGCGGACGGGUGAGUAAUGUAUGGGGACUGCCCGAUAGAGGGGGAUAACUACUGGAAACGGUAGCUACUACCGCAUACUAUCGGAUAACCCAUAUGGGAUUAGCUAGUAGGGGAGGUAAUGGAUCACCUAGGCGGCGUUCCCUAGCUGGUCUGAGAGGAUGAUCAGCCACAUUGGGACGGCGACAGGGCCCGGAUUCCUACGGAGGCAGCAGUGGGGAAUAUUGCACAAUGGGGGCAAGCCGGAUGCAGCCAUGCCGCGGGUAUGAAGAAGGCCCUAGGGUUGUAAAGUACUUUCAGUCGGGAGGCGUUACCGACAGAAGAAGCACCGGCUAACUCCGUGCCAGCAGCCGCGGUAAUAC